UUUUUUUCAGGUAGUAAUAUAACCACUCAGCACAGCAAGUCAGUCACAUUGGUACCACCCACACUGGCACAGACAGUUUUAGUAUGUUCACAGAACAACUGAACAAUCUGCUGAUGGGGAGACAAAAUUUAUUUGUUGACAUUUCUGUUUAAUACGUCAGCUUCAGAUGACAUCGUUCAUUUGUAAUGACUAAGAUUGUACUCAGUCAUAACUGCAAAACUAUAUAAUAAGAAAGAAAUUGCGAGCAUUAUCAAAAAAUAUAACCCUGAACACAGCCAGGUGAAUAUGUGAAUGUAGGUUGGUAGCCGGUAGGACUAUUUCAUAUUAUGCUAACAAUGGACAUAUCUCAGAGAAUAUAUUUUCACAGACCGUCAUAUACCUUGACAUGUUAUACUACAUGUAACUGCUGGUAAGUUAGCUAAUAUGUGCAGACAACCAUCCACACUGGUCACUGGGUUAAACUGCAUGCAUGUGUUGCUAUAGGAAUAUGAAAUAUCUUUACAUUAUAUUAAAAGCAUACACAACAUUCCGCGUUUGUUUUUAAAACGUGCUGAAAGCACAUAAUUUGCUAUAUCUACAGUAGGAACAUCUAGAAUGAACACUAUAAACUCAUCGCGCCACACAAACAAAUAAACCAAAAGUACAUUUUGACUCCUCAAUGUGCCGAUAAAUUGGUGAAAUCAUUUUGAUUAUUGUUUCAAUUACCUCAUAUCGAACACUUUCAACAGCAGAUCUAAAUAUAAAUGCCUUCAUGUAAUAUCACCAGAAAGAAAUAAAGCUAUAUCCUUACCUGAAUUAUUCAAAAUAUUGUCGAUUUGUGAAAAUCCAACAUGUCAGUAAUCAUGCGAGCGCAAUACAAAAUAAAUUUUGACCGCCCCCCUCGUUUAAAAAAACUUCCUGAAGCCUUAAUUAUUUCCCCGGAAUUACGACAUCUUUACAUACAAACAUACAGACAGACACAAAUUCACAAAAUCGAAAUCUCGAUCGACUUCAUAACUCGGCCAAAGAGACUGGACACAAGUAAACGCAGGCAC